UUCAGUUGGCAUCGCGAUGUUGUUCUCGACACUCAUUGGUAACUGUGCUCUCUCGUAAAGUAUACUGACUCAGUGUGAUUAUUUUCCGAAAAAUAAUGCGACGAGUUUUUUGAAGAUUUUUCCCGGACUAAGUGACGAUAUUAUGAGCUCGUAUCAGUUCGUGAACUCCCUGGCCCAGUGCUAUGGACAACAGGGUCGUGCAGGAGAUCACGCACAUCAAGCAGCCUCUCCUGGAGCUGAUUAUUACAACCCCAACGCAGCAGCAGCGGCUAGCUAUCCUCCAACAUGUUACUCGCCUCCCCAAGUAGGUCCUCAAGGAUACACACCUCACCCGUAUGCAACACCAGCCCCAGGACACGGACUUCAACCCAUGGGUGACUAUACUCAGCUCCAACCUCAGAGAAUACCUGGAGCUACCGCCAUGCAUCAUGCGAGUCCAGGAGGACAGAGUCCUGGAAUGCUCAGCGCUGCGGCUAGUUGUAAAUACGCUGACUCGACAUCAUCUACUGGAGUGGCGAGUCCUCAGGAUCUGAGCACUAACGCGCCUCCGGCGAGGAGUACUCCGCCUCUGGCAGGUGCUCAAGCGAGUAACAACUCGAACGCGACGAUAACUUCGAAGAGUUCGGGGUUGACGUCGCCGUUGUCAGUGAGUACUUCGCCUCAGGGGAAGGCAGGGGCUGCUUCGUCAACGGCGUCUCAGAAUUUGUCCUCGCCGGCUUCGAGUACGAGUUCGACUUCGAGUAAUGAACAGAAGGCAAGCACGAACAACAAUAACUCGAAAGGUGGGAGUUCGUCGAGUAAUCCUCCGCAGAUUUAUCCCUGGAUGAAGCGAGUACAUCUUGGACAAAGUACAGUGAACGCCAACGGCGAAACCAAACGCCAAAGGACGUCCUACACCCGGUACCAAACACUAGAGCUGGAAAAGGAGUUCCACUUCAACCGGUACCUGACGCGGCGACGGCGGAUAGAGAUCGCGCACGCGCUCUGCCUCACCGAGCGACAGAUCAAGAUCUGGUUCCAGAACCGGCGGAUGAAGUGGAAAAAGGAGCACAAGAUGGCCAGUAUGAAUAUCGUUCCAUAUCACAUGUCCCCCUACGGUCAUCCCUAUCAGUUUGAUUUGCAUCCCAGUCAGUUCGCCCAUCUAGCCACCUAGAAAUACAUGUGGCUUUGUGAAGCCGAUUUGCUAUAGUAGAUUGUGAUCUAUAAUCGUUUUUAUUAGAUUUCCACCUGGCCUCGCUCCAAGACGAAGGCUACGCAUUCCACCAGGCGAUGGGGAUGGGCGGCAUGGGUCCCAUGCAGCGCGGCCUGUACGCCUGCGGCACCCCCUACAGCUAGCCCUGGGCCGCCUAC
rnacentral:misc_RNA from 1 species